AGCAGGCCGAGCAGCCGCGGGCACAAGUCGAAAGGCUGUGCGUGAGGAAAGUCCGGGCUCCACAGGGCAAGGAUAACGGGUAACACCCGCCAGGGGCGACCCUCGGACAAGUGCAACAGAGAGAUACCGCCGCGCCUGCGGCGCGGUAAGGGUGGAAAAGUGAGGUAAGAGCUCACUCGUCGGCUGGAAACAGUUCGAUGCUGUAAACUCUAUCCGGAGCAACACCGCGGAGGGACAUCAGGCCGGCCCGGCCGUCCCAUGGAGGUGGCUGGAACGCACCGGCAACGAUGCGUCUAGAUAGAUGGCUGCUUAAGACAGAACCCGGCUUACAGACCUGCUCGU
rnacentral:RNase_P_RNA from 1 species